UACCAUGCAGUCGACGAUGAACCACUUCGGUGGGGAUUAGUGGCGAACGGGUGAGUAACACGUGGGCAAUCUGCCCUUCACUCUGGGACAAGCCCUGGAAACGGGGUCUAAUACCGGAUAACACUGCGGAUCUCAUGGUCUGCGGUUAAAAGCUCCGGCGGUGAAGGAUGAGCCCGCGGCCUAUCAGCUUGUUGGUGAGGUAAUGGCUCACCAAGGCGACGACGGGUAGCCGGCCUGAGAGGGCGACCGGCCACACUGGGACUGAGACACGGCCCAGACUCCUACGGGAGGCAGCAGUGGGGAAUAUUGCACAAUGGGCGAAAGCCUGAUGCAGCGACGCCGCGUGAGGGAUGACGGCCUUCGGGUUGUAAACCUCUUUCAGCAGGGAAGAAGCGAAAGUGACGGUACCUGCAGAAGAAGCGCCGGCUAACUACGUGCCAGCAGCCGCGGUAAUACGUAGGGCGCAAGCGUUGUCCGGAAUUAUUGGGCGUAAAGAGCUCGUAGGCGGCUUGUCACGUCGAUUGUGAAAGCUCGGGGCUUAACCCCGAGUCUGCAGUCGAUACGGGCUAGCUAGAGUGUGGUAGGGGAGAUCGGAAUUCCUGGUGUA
rnacentral:rRNA from 1 species